rnacentral:pre_miRNA from 1 species
ACCUGGCAUACAAUGUAGAAAACUGUGUUUGUAAAUCAACAGCUACAUUGUCUGCUGGGUUUC